CUGAACUCUGUGGGCUGGAACAGCAAAGGCAUGAAUAAUUGAUGCAAGGUAAGGAGAAAGCACUGCGAGCUACAGCUGAGACACUAGUUGGCCAAGUUUGUGAAGCUCUACACUUGGCUAAGUCCAUGUUUCUGUGUGUUGUAUUCAGCACUGUAACUCUGAAACACUUCAGCUAGCCAGUUUUAGGGAACAUAUCCUCAGUGAGAAUUACCCUACCUUGAUAAAAACUAAGAAAGGGAAGGAAAACCUGUUGUAGACAUAUGGACUCUCUUUUCACCAGCCAGCAGUCACAACUGCAACUGCCUAGAGCUCGUACAAAAGGCUGUGGCACCCAUCAACAUCUGCUCUCUUGCGUUCAGCUAUGGCCACUCUCCAGAGGAUGUUUACGAUGUUGACAUGCCGACUGACUUCUUUCGGAGAUGAAAAGACCCUAACGACAACACUACAGAGGUGCUCAUGCUACCCUUGACUGGGGAAUCUUGGCACGGGUGAAAGGACUAGCAGAGGAGAGGAAGCCUUUGCUGAGUGGCAGAAGAGGGAGAGGACGGUCACAUCACCCCAGGACGUGGCGAGGGGCAGAACGAGGUGGGCGAGAGUCUGUCCCUGCCACGACUGGCUGCAAAAGGGGCAGCUGCUACAAUAAAAGAGGAAAAAAGGCAGGAGGAAAAGGGACAGAUUGAGAGGCCUGCCAAGACUGUGAUGGAAUUCUGGCUUAAAGGACAAUGCACAAGCCUUUUCCAGGUCUGAGAGGAAAGAUAACUAAAGACGUAGCCAGCAGAACGACAAGGUGCUCAGCAGUAUUAUGGAUGGUAGCGGGAGGACCAGAGCUCUCUGAUGGACUGGACAACGUUGGCAGAUUGAUUCGAUUACUAAGAGUUGGCUCUCGGCUGUACUCUCCUCUGCAGUAACGAAGCUGGGAAGCCCAAGACAGGGCACUGCCAUGUAAGCAGGUGGCUCUAACAAGAGAAACCUGUGUGUUUUACACACGGAAAAAAGUCUUUGAGCUCGAUAUUUGCUUUUGUUUCACAGUAGAUGAGAAAGGCU